GGAGGGUAUGGCUCAAGUGGUAGAGCGCAUGCUUAGCAUGCAUGAGGUCCUGGGUUCAAUCCCCAGUACCUCCA
rnacentral:tRNA from 1 species